UACGUAGGGGGCAAGCGUUGUUCGGAUUCAUUGGGCGUAAAGGGUGUGUAGGUGGCGCGGUAAGUCGGGUGUGAAAUCUCGGAGCUUAACUCCGAAACUGCAUUCGAUACUGCCGUGCUUGAGGACUGGAGAGGAGACUGGAAUUUACGGUGUAGCGGUGAAAUGCGUAGAUAUCGUAAGGAAGACCAGUGGCGAAGGCGGGUCUCUGGACAGUUCCUGACACUGAGGCACGAAGGCCAGGGGAGCAAACGGG
rnacentral:rRNA from 1 species